CGUGUAGGCGGCUUGAUAAGUCAGAUGUGAAAGCCCUGGGCUCAACCCGGGAAGUGCAUUUGAAACUGUCCUGCUUGAGUAAGGGAGAGGGAAGUGGAAUUCCUGGUGUAGAGGUGAAAUUCGUAGAUAUCAGGAGGAACACCGGUGGCGAAGGCGACUUCCUGGCCCUAUACUGACGCUGAGACGCGAGAACGUGGGGAGCAAACAGGAUUAGAUACCCUGGUAGUCCACGCCGUAAACGAUGUUCACUAGGUGUUGGGGGUAUUGACCCCCUCAGUGCCGGAGCUAACGCAUUAAGUGAACCGCCUGGGGAGUACGGUCGCAAGACUAAAA
rnacentral:rRNA from 1 species